UCCUUAAAAAUGAAAGUGCAGGCUGAAAGUUGGUAGUGUGGGAGGUAGAGGGUGUGUGUUCUUGUGCAGAGGAGCGUGGGGUUUGCAGAGGAGACAGGGGAGCUUUGUGUACCCGGAGCAAUGAACAAGCGGCGACUUCUCUACCCCUCAGGGUGGCUCCACGGUCCCAGCGACAUGCAGGGGCUCCUCUUCUCCACUCUUCUGCUUGCUGGCCUGGCACAGGUAAUGGCACCGAAGCCUCCUUUCGCUAUGUUUGAACAGCGCCACGCUUUCCUAUAUAUUUUUAUAGCAGAGCCUAAGGCACAGCCUGGCACAGUGCGGGAAACAGUGUCUCUCCAUGCCAGCUCCAGGCGGAGGCUCAACUUUCCAUUGCUGUUUGCAAAAUGUGCAAAGAGCCCCUGGAAAAACGAAUUUUGACAGCGACUUUUUCCAGUUAAGUCUGUCCUUCUUUGAAAGGGGCACUUUGGAAUAAACAUUUACAUUUUUAAAA
rnacentral:lncRNA from 1 species